GCAUAUAAUGAGUGGAGAGAAAAAAAAAUCUAUGGUGACUGUAAAGGCCCUGGUGCUAUGUAUGUGAAGUUAAUAUCUUCUGAUAGUCAUGGGUUUAUUGUAAAAAGAGAACAUGCAUUAACAUCAGGAACAAUAGAGGCCAUUUUGAGUGGUCCAGGCCCUUUGUCAAGAAUGAAACCAAAGAGAUCAAUUUUAGAGAGAUCCAUUCACAUGUGCUUUUGAAAGUGUGAAUGUAUUUUAGCUACAAGGUCCACUAUACCAACAGCUCCACUAAAGUUCCUGAAUUUCCAACUGCAUCUAAAAUUGCACUGGAACUGCUGAUGGCCUCGAACUUCCUAGAUUGCUAA
rnacentral:lncRNA from 1 species